GGAAGCGUAUCGAAGUGGUCAUAACGGGGCGCACUCGAAAUGCGUUGGCCUUCACGGGCACGUGGGUUCGAAUCCCACCGCUUCCGCCA
rnacentral:tRNA from 1 species